UCUCAAAGAUUAAGCCAUGCAUGUGUCAGUGCAAGCCUUUCCUUACGGUGAAACCGCGAAUUGCUCAUUAAAUCAGUCAUUAUCCGUUGGACAUUAUUGAACCGUGUCCUUACUCGGAUAACUGUGGUAAUUCUAGAGCUAAUACAUGCCACGAGUUCCCAAAGUGUUUUGCUUGACGCGAGUAGGACGCAAUUAUUAGAUCCAAAAAUUGUACCGAUUUCUUACUUGGUGUAAAAUUUGGUGAAUCUGGAUAAUCACUGUAGAGCGCUUAAUUCGUGCCGGCGCCUGACCUAUGAAGAGUCUGCCCUAUCAGCUUGAUUGUAGAUUAAAUGUCUACAAUGGCUAUAACGGGUAACGGGGAAUCAGGGUUCGAUUCCGGAGAGGGAGCCUGAGAAACGGCUACCACAUCUAAGGAAGGCAGCAGGCACGCAAAUUGUUCAAUCUUAGCUCGAGGAAGCAGUGACAAAAUAUCUUGAUGCGGGACUCUUCCGAGGCCUCGCAAUCAGGAUGCGUUUACUUUAAACCAGUACGCUGAACGCAAUUGGAGGGCAAGUCUGGUGCCAGCAGCCGCGGUAAUUCCAGCUCCAAUAGCGUAUUUUUAAGUUGCUGCGGUUAAAAAGCUCGUAGUUGGACUUUAUACUCAGGCAGCCAGCCCUCGUUCGUUUGAGGUUAUUACUGCGCUGUGACUGAGUGUAUAUGAGACCGUCGAUACUUUUUAAUCUAUAAUCGUUGGUGCCCUUAAAUGGUUUAGGUAUAUUCGUUAUAAAAGUUUCGACUCUAUCACUUUGAAAAAAUUAGAGUGCUCAAAGCACUCAUUGCAUAAUUGCCUGAAUGGUAGUGCAUGGAAUGAUGAAAGAUGAUCUCUACCUCGUUAAGUUUAUGAUUAGAUUGGUUCUUUAAUUUGCACCAGGUAAAGAUUCGAGGUUUGAGAUAAUGAUUAAAGGGAACUGCCGGGGGCGUUUGUAUUACGGCGCUAGAGGUGAAAUUCUUGGACCGUCGUAAGACAAACUACUGCGAAAGCAUUCGCCAAGAAUGUUUUCAUUAAUCAAGAACGAAAGUUAGAGUUUAGAAGGAGAUCAGAUACCUCCCUAUUUCUAACCGUAAACUAUGCUAACCUGUUGUCCGUCGGAAGUCAUUUCCGAUGGACGAGCGACCCCAGGGAAACCAGAGUUUUUCUGUUCCGGGGGAAGUAUGGUUGCAAAGCUGAAACUUAAAGGAAUUGACGGAAGGGCACCACCAGGAGUGGAGCCUGCGGCUUAAUUUGACUCAACACGGGAAACCUCACCAGGCCCAGAAACAUUUAGGAUUGACAGAUUGAAAGCUCUUUCAUGAUUAUGAGGAUGGUGGUGCAUGGCCGUCUUAGUUGGUGGAGCGAUCUGUCUGGUUAAUUCCGAUAACGAACGAGAUUCUCAUUUGCUAAAUAGAAGGUAGAUCUGAUCCCGAGAGUUCUUGUGGAAGCUUAUGUCGGGUAGUCUAUCUUUCUUCUUAGAAAAAUCAAUGGUGCUCUAAUCAGUUGACAGGAAGAGCAAUAACAGGUCUGUGAUGCCCUUAGAUGUUCUGGGCCGCACGCGCGCUACAAUGCGCGGUGCAACACGUCCCCCUUCUCCCUAAUGGAGUGGGUAACCGGUUCAAAUCCGGGCUUACUUGGGAUUGGGGCUUGCAAAUAUUUCCCAUAAACGAGGAAUUCCCAGUAAGCGUUGGCUCAUUCAAGUCGCGCUGAUUACGUCCCUGCCCUUUGUACACACCGCCCGUCGCUACUACCGAUUGAAUGUUUCAGUGAGAACACUGGACUGUCGCUCUAAAGUUUUGAGCUGACGGGAAGAUGUUCAAACUUGAUC
rnacentral:rRNA from 1 species